rnacentral:lncRNA from 1 species
AUUUUUUUUUUUUUUACAGGAGUGGGUUUAACACUUGUGUUGGAGGGAAACGAGAAAGCAACUUCUGAGUUGAGAGAGAGUUCUGAAAGAAUCAAAGGGUUCAAGAUUAUAGGCUCUGGUGUGUGAUUAGAAGUUAUAUUAAUAAGAGAAGGAAGACAGGCUGGUCAAGGACCAGCCCCCCCGCCCUUGUUUGUAUCAGAUGGGAAAACAGAGACCGAUGGAACUUGCCUUAGAGGAAGAUGGACAAAUGGAUUGGACAGUACAAGUAGAAGGCUCUUUCCAGAGAGGAAGAUGUGCUAGACAUGCCGUGGACACUUCCCUCUUGAACCUGCCUGUGUUUGUCCACCCCAGCCUUGGAGGCGUCUAUGUGGCCAUGCAAGCUGGUACGUUUGCAGUACCCGAAUGGAGCCCUCUUG